rnacentral:rRNA from 1 species
AGUGAACGCUGGCGGUAGGCCUAACACAUACAAGUCGAACGGCAGCACAGUAAGAGCUUGCUCUUACGGGUGGCGAGUGGCGGACGGGUGAGGAAUACAUCGGAAUCUACUUUUUCGUGGGGGAUAACGUAGGGAAACUUACGCUAAUACCGCAUACGACCUACGGGUGAAAGCAGGGGAUCUUCGGACCUUGCGCGAUUGAAUGAGCCGAUGUCGGAUUAGCUAGUUGGCGGGGUAAAGGCCCACCAAGGCGACGAUCCGUAGCUGGUCUGAGGGGAUGAUCCGCCACACUUGAACUGAGACACGGUCCAGACUCCUACGGGAGGCAGCAGUGGGGAAUAUUGGACAAUGGGCGCAAGCCUGAUCCAGCCAUACCGCGUGGGUGAAGAAGGCCUUCGGGUUGUAAAGCCCUUUUGUUGGGAAAGAAAAGCAGCAGGUUAAUACCCCGCUGUUCUGACGGUACCCAAAGAAUAAGCACCGGCUAACUUCGUG